CCUACGGGGGGCUGCAGUAGGGAAUCUUCCACAAUGGGCGAAAGCCUGAUGGAGCAACGCCGCGUGUGUGAUGAAGGCUUUCGGGUCGUAAAGCACUGUUGUAUGGGAAGAACAGCUAGAAUAGGAAAUGAUUUUAGUUUGACGGUACCAUACCAGAAAGGGACGGCUAAAUACGUGCCAGCAGCCGCGGUAAUACGUAUGUCCCGAGCGUUAUCCGGUUUUAUUGGGGGUAAAGCGAGCGCAGACGGUUUAAUAAGGAGGAUGUGAAAGCCCGGAGCUCAACUCCGGAAUGGCAUUGGAAACUGGUUAACAUGAGUGCAGUAAAGGUAAAUGGAACUCCAAGUUUAGCGGUGGAAGGCGUAGAUAUAUGGAAGAACACCAGUGGCGAAGGCGGCUUACUGGACUGCAACUGACGUUGAGGCUCGAAAGUGUGGGUAGCAAACAGGAUUAGAUACCCGAGUAGUC
rnacentral:rRNA from 1 species